GGGGAUAUAGCUCAGAUGGUAGAGUGCUUGCCUUGCAUGCACAAGGCCCUGGGUUCAAUCCCCAGCACCA
rnacentral:tRNA from 1 species